rnacentral:rRNA from 1 species
CGUCUAUAUACGUAUAGCAUAUCAAUAAGCGGAGGAAAAGAAACUAACUAGGAUUCCCUCAGUAACGGCGAGUGAAGCGGGAAGAGCUCAAAUUUGAAAUCUUCAAGGUUUUACCUUGACGAAUUGUAGUUUAAAGAAGUGUUUUCUGUUGGAUGUUUUGGUAAAAGUUCUUUGGAAUAGGACAUCAUAGAGGGUGAGAAUCCCGUAUUUGACCAUUAUUUCCAACUUUGUGAUACACUUUCAAAGAGUCGGAUUGUUUGGGAAUGCAGUCCAAAAUGGGUGGUAAAUUUCAUCUAAAGCUAAAUACUGGCGAGAGACCGAUAGCGAACAAGUACCGUGAGGGAAAGAUGAAAAGAACUUUGAAAAGAGAGUUAAACAGUACGUGAAAUUGUCAAAAGGGAAGCGUUUGACACCAGUGUUGUUUUCUCGAAAAUCAAUUAAAAAUGGUGGGAUUUUGUGUUGUAUUGACUUUAUCAGCUUUCUGCACUUUUUUCCUAUCUUUUUUAAUGCACUUUUCGUUUAACAAGUCAACAUCAAUUUCUUUUGUUGUAAAAGAGUCAUUGGAAGGUGGCUUUCUUUUCGGAGAAAGUGUUUAUAGCCUUUGACUUCUGCAAUCGGAGAGAUUGAGGUCUGCAGCGUAGAUCCUUCGGGGUUAGAUGCAUUUGUGCUAAGUUAUAGCCUUUCAUAGACAACUUGUUGACUAUGAUCAGUCAUGUAGCUUACUCGCUUAUGUUAUUUUACCUACGCUUAGGAUGUUGACGAUCAGCUGAGCGCG